UGUGAAAACAUCGAAGGGAAUGUGGUUGCGCGCCAGUGUGUGGAAGCGAGUGUGAACUAGGUCGUGGUUGUCCAUAUGGGGGCGGGGGCAUGAUACCGUAUACACACGCAUACAUUGAGCAGUAGCCCAUCAUGUUACAUCUACUUAAGUGUAGCCACUUUGGAAUAAAAGCACACUGCUCAUUUAGGCCCAUUCAUUUCAGUGGCUCUGCUUGUGAGAACUUAGUUGGGAUCCGCACUUCCCCAUUUAUUGCUCGAAGCCCCGGGAAGUUUUAUGUAGUGGCUAACAAAUAUAGAUGAUAAAUGCAUAAUACAAAAAUGAGUGGGGGGAGGAAGGAAAUUGGAGAGAGGUGUGACUGUGUGGAUGCAUGAGGCCUGCAUAGAGGAGAGCGAGGGGGCAACUGGCUUGCCUACACGCCAUACGCUUAAAGCACAUGGCUCCCCACCACCAAAUAAACUGGGAACUGUCGUUCGCUAAGGGUGCUGGGAAUUGUAGUUCUGUGAGGAAUAAGCUGCUGUUCCGAGGAUUCUGUCUGUGUUUUAAAUGCAUUGCAGAGCUGUGUGUGUAUGUGUGCAUCAGACAGACAGACAGACAGACGGGAGAAUGGGGCACAUAUCCUGUCAGGAAAGAGUGAAUGGGAAAGGCUUGUGUAGGAGUGUGGAUUAUGAGGGGGAAAACAUGAAAGGGAAAUGUGAGGAAGGAGUGUGCUUGUGCUACGAUGUACCAGGCUCUUCCUCACACCUCAUUCUUCUCUUUCCCGCCCAAAUCCAUUCCUAUGUCUCCUCCUGCCUCUCACUCGUAUUUUCAGUCAGCUCCCUCAUAUUCACGGUUUCCUCGCAACGUCUCUCAUGUAUGUAGUUGUUUCUUUCGUCUCUCCCUUAUGGAUGCAGUUCUUUCUUUCACUUGCAAGCUCGCUCUCUCUCUCUCUCUCUCUCUCUCUCUCUCACACACACACACACACACACACACACACACACACUCAGUGCCUUCACCACAGGCAGGACGUGUGAACAGACAAGGGUUGGGGUGGAAAACAAGAGAGGGGUGUGUUUGUGUGUGUCAGAAUCGCACGGGGUCUCCGUGUGAAGGAAAAGGGAGCAGAAUGGGAGGCCAGGGCAGCUCCAUUUUAGUGUGCAUGGGCACACUUGUGUAAAAACAUGAGGGAGACAGUGUUGGGGCUGGCAGGGAGGGAGGGAGGGAAAGUGGUGCAACUGAUUGACAGAAGCGCAGUGUGUGAAAGGAAUGUGUGGUGCGUUAGGACCGAAAGAUGUUAUGAGAACCCUUUUUUUUUAGUCAACAAAUUUUUAAUCCAACAAAUAUGUAUGCGUAAGAUAGGUACACAGCGUGUUUUAUUCAAGAAUUCCUACACAGAAGUGUCUUUUGUAAGGUGCAAGGGCAGCCAACAUAAUGCUGACUGGAUGCUGUUGGACUAAAACUCCCACCAGCCCCAGCCAGCACAGCCAGUGGGGAUGGUAGCUUAUUUAGGGGUAAACUACAGUUCCCGGGAUUGUCAGGAGGAAAUAAUGUGUGUUCAGUAUAUGGAGUGUCACUGUGUCUAUCUCUCAGUGUGUCCUUUCCCCCCAUAACUCUUAAAAAAGACAGACGGCUCUUAAUAUACACAUUCAGAGCUUCUUUCCUCACAUGCUGAUGAAAUCUGACAAAAUGUUCUAUUCUGUCAGAAGCAUCGAUCAGUUGUCAACAGGAGCUGCCAAAGCAAGCUGUUGGAUCCCUUUUUGGGGAUUUGUGGUUUUUUUUAAUGGGGUGGUAGUGUCUGAGUGUUUGUGCACCCCCCCCCACCCUUCAACAGAACUUCAAUAAUGCAUGGUAUUCUAAUUAAGAUUAUUGCUCCAAUGAAUCAGUGGGUAGUUACACACAAUAAUGAAUAUUUUAUUCAUUUAAGUUGUGAUUGGAAUAUGUGUGCCUGUGUGUCUCUCUCUUUCCUCAAGGAUAUUCCAGGCUCCUUCCUGAACGUUCAUAUUCCAUUCUAAACAAAAGACAAAAGUCUUGUCCUACUGCAGUUUAAAAUUCCAAAUCACAACUUUUUAAAAUGGAGGCAGCCUUAAGAGGUAUGUGGUAUAGUGGUUAGAGCGCUGGACUCACAACCCCAACUUUGACCAGGGUUUAAAUCUGCAUCCAGCCCAUGAUUGUGGGCCAUUCACUGUACUUCAGCCUAAAUUACCUCACAGGGUUAUUGUGAGGAUAACAUGGGGAAGGGGCAGCCGUAUACCACCUUGAGCACCUUGAAUGAAAGGUGGGGAUAUAAAUGUUAUAAUAACUGAGGGCUCCUUCAAGAUGCAAUUCUUUAUUCCAUUUAUACCCCAUCUUUCUUCCAAAGAGCUCAAGGUUGUUCUCUCCAUACCCACAUCUUUUACCCUUCAAUCUUCCCAACAGUCUUGUGAGGUAGAUUAGGCAGAGAGUUGGUGCCUGGCCUGAGAUCACCCAAUGAGCUUUGUGGCUGAGUGGGGAUUUGAACCCAGGUCUCCCAAUCCUAUUUUGACCAUUCCAGCCACCUGCCUCAGAACCAGGGUGAUGCUAUCGUCACAUUUUAAUUAAUGGCGAUGAAGCUUAUUUCAGGGAGGCCAUUUUGGUUCUGGUGUGUUACAGUCAAAAAGAAUAGGAAAUGGUAAUGCAAGAGGACUUCCCCUACAGCAGGCACGUCCAACAGGUAGAUCGUGAUCUACUGGUAGAUCACUGGACAUCCGUGGUAGAUCACUGGUUGAUCACUGGCUCCCCCCAAAGAAGCCCAACAACUUUGGCUCCCCUAAAAAAAGCCCUCCCUCCCUCCUAAAAGAAGCUCAAUAACUUUGACCUGAACCCCAAAAGAGGGGGUAGAUCACUGUCAGUUUUUAACUCUGUGAGUAGAUCGCAGUCUCUUGGGAGUUGGCCACCCCUGCCCUACAGUAAUGUGCAGCAGCUUCUUCAGUUCACUUGUACCUUCUCACACUUCUUCCCAGUACCAGGUUUCUAGAGAACCUUUGGACAAGACCCCAUGGCCUCUCUCCUUCAGUGAGUUGCUCCUUUACAGCAAACCUUGCUCGGACUUCUGCCUUCGCAACUGGAACCUCAGCGUUCCUGAGGACUAGAAACCUGCUUUGAAAAACAAAAUACCCAGACAUAUCAACACUUAAGCCAGCCUUGCAGCGCUCAAUUAUAUCAAAAAGCUACCUUUACAGCUUGGGACCAGGAUACCUGAAAGAUUAUAUACCCAAUCAAUCACUGUGUGCAGCAGGAGAGGGCCUCUGGCAGAUACCAUCUUUUGAUAUAGGAAUUGGGCCUGUGUUGUGGGGUAGCUACCCCUUUGGAUCUCCCUCCCAUUAAUUAUGGUCUCUCUUGCCAUUCCAGCAGCUGCUGAAGACCCUUUAACAAGCCUUUUAAGAUAAGACCCUUUCCCAGUCUGCAUCUGUACAGUACUGGGAUUGUUUUGAAGGUGUUUGUGUGUUUGCUGCCCUGGACUCCUUCAGGAGGAAGGACCAGAUGGAAACUUAAAUAAUAACAAUAGUAUCUCCCUCUUUUAAAGGAUUAGAAAUGGAUUCAGAUUUUCUGCAUGUGUGGGUUCAGAUAUUGCAAAUGUUUCAUCACAAUAACAACAGCACUGAUAUAUAUAUUGGUUUGGGUGGUACACAUGUGCAUUUAGCUUUAUUAACUGAUUGAUCAGCUGCAAGUGAUCCAAAUUAAGUCAGCCAAAAAAAAUGCCCUAAUCAGUUGACAGGCCAGGGAGGUGGGGUAGGGCACACACAAGAAGAUGCGGUUUUCGGCACAUAACAUACCUUACAAAAACAUCGGCUCUAAACCCCAUGCAAAUCCCUGGAAUCUGGGCUUUGUACUCUGGAGGCUUUGUCUACUUGUUGUUGUUCAAUUUGUCAGAAACACAUUGGGGCUCCCCCCCCCACCUUCCCCCAAAUCCCUCAGUAUUGUUAAUUCAAUUUUGAGCCGUUCUUUCACGCAGGUUUUAAAGGAACUAAUCCCAUCUCUUGGAUUACACGAUGCAAGAACAACAUCGAGAUCCACCCACCAGCCCCUUCCUCCCUGCCCAGAGCGCCAAAGUGAGGUAAGAACCUUAGGGAAACAGCAGUCGCUGGCUUUAAGACCAUGUCACUAACCGAAAAGCGAUGGGGUUGGGGGAGAGGAGGCUCGGUUUAGGUUGCCCAGGCAACUGAAAUCCUCGACUUUGCAACCUUUAUAAUCUCACAGGCUUUGUUCAUGCAGCCAAGUUCGUGCGGAUGCAUCCAAUGUAAACAAUGGUGGCUGAUGUGUCAUGGGGACUUGUGGGGCAGAAGGCAGGGAGCCCCAAAGCAGGUGGAGCCAGAGCCAAGGACAGGCAGAGCCAGCUAAUUCUAGCAUUGCUCACAUCCUCCUCUUCGCUGAGCAAUACAAGGGGCAACACUAAGACUAAGGAGGAGGAGGAAGGCAGCAGGCAGGACCCACCAUCUUAGGGACUCCGGUUUUUGUAGGGUUUACUCCUUAGCCCAGAGGUUUUCAACCUUUUUGAGUCCACGGCUCCCUUGACUAACUACAUUCUUCCUGCAGCACCCCUGUGGGGCUCAGGAGCCCAGGUAUGUCACUCCUUGCCUGCAAUGCUGGCAGUCUCUCAUCCUUUUUCGAACACCCUUCCCUUGUAGAGUUUCCUCAGUCUCCUCUCCUCUUCCCUCUUAUUGGGAGUCCUCCGGGCAGCAGCUGCUGCUGCUGCUGCCGCCCCGAUCUCUGAUCUUACCUCACCCCAAAGAGAUGUGGUGUUAUGUGUUCAGUGGUCUGUGUUUGUCUGAGCUCGAGUCUGGACUAAGGAUUCUGAGCUCCUGUGUUCUGAUUCAAUACAUGAUGUCCAAUCACAGAACAUUUCAGGAUCUGGGCCUCUUCCAUUGGCCCUUGAACUCUGAGUCGUGAUUUGCAGCUUGGAAGUUUAGACAGCCAAUCACAUUGUGAGUGGCCCAAGCUUUCAGAAAUGUAUAUAAGCGGUUGCUUUGCCUGUUUCCCAGUUAUGUAGUUCAAUAAAGGUUCUUGCUGUUAUGAUUGUGUCUUGCCUUGUGGGAACCCACCUACACUUCACGUGCCUCACACUGUCCUUUCCCAACAGCAAGGGCUGGAGGACUGGCUGGCUGGCUGGGCUCCCUUGCCUGCUUGCUUACUCCGAGGCUGCCUCACCUUCUGGCAGCCAGCACCCCCUGCCCAGCCCCAGAAGCACUAUUCACUUGUGGAGCUUGUAGCCAGGGUCACUGCAACAAAGAGCUGUGCAAGCCUUGGGGAGGCAGAGAUCUGAGAGGGCAUCAGAAGAGGGAGGGGAAAAGGGAGAGGCCAGUAUUGCCUGUGGCACCCCUGACCAUCAUUCAAGGCACUCCAGGGUGCCACGGCACACUGGUUGAAAACAACUGCCUUAGCCUUUUCUUCUCCCAAAGAUAUCUCACAAGAGUCAGAGUUUUCCUUUUCCUAGAUGGGCUACCUUCCCAGCCCCAUCUGCCCCCCACUUCCCUCUACCAUAAUGGGCACUACAUUGGCUACGCUUGCUGUAAAGAAUAUCAUGCUUCCCAUCUGUACUCUUCUCUCAAGUGUUCAAAGCACUUCUCAUGCCCAGGAGAUGUUGUGCAGCAACACUUUCAGAGCCAAAGGUUCCCCAGCCCUGAUAAGCACUGUGCCUGUUGAUAACAGCAGUAGUUGUAUUGCUUUUAAUCUUUCUAGCUUUGUUGCCAUUAGCAUCCAUAGCAGCUUCACUUAUUUCAUGGAAAAUUUGCUGGGACUCUCGUAGCACCUUUACUUUUUUAUUUUUUACAGCCAAUGCUCUGGAACGUUAUGCAGAUACAUAAGCACUGGCACUCACAGCUCUGGGAUUACUUCUCCCCACCCCAGAGCAGGAGCAAAUGAUGUCACCUGCUGGUUGAAGCACUGGCAGUGUUAAAUAACUUUUCUUGUUCUGGCAAGUGAGUGAAGUGUUAACGAAGCUUUCAAAUUCGUAACAGAUUAAAAUAGAGGGAAACAAGAGGCUAGACACUUCUUUCCUUUCCUUUGAUGAGGUUCCAGCUUCAUGCCAGCAGUUUAGAUAAUAAUGCCUAUUUGCAUUUCAGUGGGAUGAAGACCUUUAAAAGAUGCCUGCUUCAUAAGCUGAACCCAUUCAGUCAGAACUAACCAACACUCCUAAGAAGCUAUUCAUAGGAUUGCAGUUGUUCUCAUCCUAAUAAUGACUAUAUGGGCUCCCAGAAUAAGCACCUGCAAUUCAAAAUUUACCACUAUGCCCUCCAUCACUGCCUGAUUGCUCAAGGUAAAGAAGGCAGCUACAUAAUAUUCUUUCUAACAAAUGUCCAGCUACUUGUUUAGAAUUAGCUGGCAUAGUUAUAAUCUGUAACAGAAGAUUUUCAUACCAUGCUACAGUCAAACUUUCCAUACGGUAGUUUUUCUGGUUUGGUAUUCUGUUAUAUUGCAAUGUCAUUAGACCAUCAUGAAAGUUGUUCUAAAUGUUGUUUUUAAUGCUGUAACCUGCUCUGGGACCUUAGGGUGAAGGGCAGGUAAUAAAUUAACAAUAACAACAAGUAUUUAUAUACCUGCUAAACGAGGGUAACCCUUUAUUCAAACUGCCACAUAAGCUUUCGCCAUCAUAAGCAUCUGUUAUUUUUUAAGCUGCUACAAAACUUUUAAUUAGUUUUGCUGUAAUUCCUCUAGAAGGUUUUGCCUUGCAGGGUAUGGUGUGUUUUGAGGGUACAGAAAACAUAGUGUGGGCAUCACUGUGGACAUGUAGACUUUUCCCCUGUGUAGAAAUGCUUUGCUGAGUCUGCUCCCAUUGCCUUGAACUGACCUUAAUACUUGCCGGCUGAGGGCUUAAAAUAGAGACUUGGGGAGAAACAGGACAAUAGCAUAUAGAUCAUUCACACUACCAUAGGCAGCAGAAACAGCCUGUUCCGCGGCGGCCCAGUCCCUUGCCGGCUGUUCCGAGCCACCCUGGCACAGGUCGGGCAGGCUGGAGGUUGCUGAGCAAAGCAAAUUCUUAUUCUCUCCCAUAUUCAGCUUUGUUUCUUACCCGAGAGCAAAUUGGGUGCACAAUGGGGCAAUUAAGAUUUGGUUGGAAAACGUUGCUGGUGGGUUGGCACCCUCUAGUGGCUCCUUUGGGGACAGCUUAGGACAACUAAGGCCGUGUACACACUGUACCUUUAAAGCACAUUCCCGCCCCCCUCAAAGAAUUCUGGGCGCUGUAGUUUAUUAAGGGUUACUAGGAAUUGUAACUCUGGGAGGAGAAAAUUACAGUGCCAAGAAUUCUAUGGGGGAAAGUCUCUGUUUCAAAUGUGCUUUUAAUGCCAGUGUGUACAAAGCCUAUAUACUGUUACAAAGGUUGCAGAUCACCCCAGUCGCUGCUGAGCGGUAGCAAAUUUCCAGGGGGUUCCAGGCGCUUACCCAGGGUCCUGUUUCCGUUAGGAAUUCAGGCACAUAAGAGACUGUAGCAUUUUAAGAUACAGUGGUACCUCAGGUUAAGUACUUAAUUCGUUCUGGAGGUCCGUACUUAACCUGAAACUGUUCUUAACCUGAAGCACCACUUUAGCCAAUGGGGCCUCCUGCUGCUGCUGUGCUGCCGGAGCACGAUUUCUGUUCUCAUCAUGAAGCAAAGUUCUUAACCCGAGGUACUAUUUCUGGGUUAGCAGAGUCUGUAACCUGAAGCGUAUGCAAUCCGAGGUACCACUGUAUAUGGUUUUACACCUCUGUACACCUGGAUCUAGGUAAAGAGAGUUCACAGCAUGGGGGGGGGGCUUGUUCCCCACAACAGCACAGCAUUGGAGCUCAUGGCAUCCUGCACACCAUUUCCAUGCCUUUUCCCCAGCCUGCCAAUAUGGUUCUGCCCCACCUGGCCUCUGCCUGGAGCUCUGGCACCUCCUUCUCCUUCCCAAGAACACUUGCUAAGCAGCCUCUCUGUUUUAAAAGGGGCACAUUUUCCCUGUGUGGCACCAUGCCGCUGCCCCCCAUCACGCUGGGCAACCACCCAAAUCUAC